rnacentral:tRNA from 1 species
GCCAACGUAGCUCAAUCGGCAGAGCAGCGCAUUCGUAAUGCGCAGGUUGUCGGUUCGAGUCCGACCGUUGGCUCCA